UCCUCGGUAGUAUAGUGGUCAGUAUCACCUUACUUGCCUGUCACGCGGGAGACCGGAGUUCGAUUCCCCGCCGGGGGU